rnacentral:rRNA from 1 species
GAGUAGUAAAUGUUUUGGACAGGAAACUUAAAGAAUUUGGCGGUGUAUAUUCUAUUUAGAGGAAUAUGUUUUUUAAUUGAUAAUCCACAUGUAUUUCACUUAAAUUAAUUUAUUUUGUAUAUCUCCGUCUAAAAGACUUUUUAAAAUAUUUUUUAAGUUUUAGAAUUUAAAAUAA